GACGGAGGGUGCUAGCGUUGUUCGGAAUGACUGGGCGUAAAGGGCGCGUAGGCGGCCGCUUGCGUCGGAUGUGAAAGCCCGGGGCUCAACCCCGGAACGGCAUCCGAUACGGGGCGGCUCGAGACCGAGAGAGGUGAGUGGAAUACCCAGUGUAGAGGUGAAAUUCGUAGAUAUUAGGUGGAACACCGGUGGCGAAAGCGGCUCACUGGCUCGGUUCUGACGCUGAGGCGCGAAAGCGUGGGGAGCAAACAGG
rnacentral:rRNA from 1 species